rnacentral:rRNA from 1 species
CCUAAGGUAGCGAAAUUCCUUGUCGGGUAAGUUCCGACCUGCACGAAUGGCGUAACGACUUCCCCACUGUCUCGACCAGGAGCUCGGCGAAAUUGCAGUACGAGUAAAGAUGCUCGUUAAGCGCAGAAGGACGAAAAGACCCCGGGACCUUUACUAUACCUUGGUAUUGGCGUUAGGCGCGGAUUGUGUAGCAUAGGCGGGAGGCUUCGAAGCGUGGGCGCCAGCUCAUGUGGAGCCGCAAGGUGAAAUACCGCUCUGUUCUCGUUUGACGUCUAACCUCGACAAGUCAUCCUUGUCAGGGACAGUGCCUGGCGGGUAGUUCAACUGGGGCGGUUGCCUCCCAAAGAGUAACGGAGGCGCUCAAAGGUCCGCUCAGCCCGGUUGGCAAUCGGGUGUCGAGUGUAAUCGCACAAGCGGGCUUGACUGCGAGGACGACGGUCCGAGCAGGGACGAAAGUCGGAGAUAGUGAUCCGGUGCCGGCGCACGGGCGCGGCAUCGCUCAACGGAUAAAAGGUACCCCGGGGAUAACAGGCUGAUCAUUCCCAAGAGUCCAUAUCGACGGGAUGGUUUGGCACCUCGAUGUCGGCUCGUCGCAUCCUGGGGCUGGAGCAGGUCCCAAGGGUUCGGCUGUUCGCCGAUUAAAGCGGCACGCGAGCUGGGUUCAGAACGUCGUGAGACAGUUUGGUCUCUAUCCUCUGCGCUCGUUGGAAUGCUGAGGAGGCCUGCCCAUAGUACGAGAGGACCUGGGUGGACGAACCUCUGGUAUGCCGGUUGUCGCGCCAGCGGCACGGCCGGUUGGCUACGUUCGGGAGGGAUAACCGCUGAAAGCAUCUAAGCGGGAAGCCUGCUCCAAGAUUAGGAUUCCAUGGAUCUUCGAGAUCCUGUAGCCCGCAUGUUGAACACGUGUUUGAUAGGCCGGAGGUGGAAGUCCCGUGAGGGGUGGAGCCGACCGGUACUAACGGGCGACGGCGACACAAC